GACGAACGCUGGCGGCGUGCUUAACACAUGCAAGUCGAGCGGUAAGGCCCUUUCGGGGGUACGACGAGCGGCGAACGGGUGAGUAACACGUGGGUGACCUGCCCUUAGCUCUGGGAUAAGCCUGGGAAACUGGGUCUAAUACCGGAUAUGACUCCAUAACGCAUGUUGUGGGGGUGGAAAGCCUUGUGCGGCUAGGGAUGGGCCCGCGGCCUAUCAGCUUGUUGGUGGGGUGGAUGGCCACCAAGGCGACGACGGGUAGCCGGCCUGAGAGGGCGACCGG
rnacentral:rRNA from 1 species